ACGAACGCUGGCGGCGUGCCUAACACAUGCAAGUCGAGCGAAUGAAGUUCCUUCGGGAAUGGAUUUAGCGGCGGACGGGUGAGUAACACGUGGGCAACCUGCCUCAUAGAGGGGAAUAGCCUCCCGAAAGGGAGAUUAAUACCGCAUAAGAUUGUAGUACCGCAUGAUACAGCAAUUAAAGGAGCAAUCCGCUAUGAGAUGGGCCCGCGGCGCAUUAGCUAGUUGGUGAGGUAAUGGCUCACCAAGGCGACGAUGCGUAGCCGACCUGAGAGGGUGAUCGGCCACAUUGGGACUGAGACACGGCCCAGACUCCUACGGGAGGCAGCAGUGGGGAAUAUUGCACAAUGGGGGAAACCCUGAUGCAGCAACGCCGCGUGAGUGAUGACGGCCUUCGGGUUGUAAAGCUCUGUCUUCAGGGACGAUAAUGACGGUACCUGAGGAGGAAGCCACGGCUAACUACGUG
rnacentral:rRNA from 1 species